AAGUCAAGGACUACCUGUACUGGUAUAUUGAAUUAGUUUAAAGGACUUCUUAUAUUUUUGAGUUUCAACCUAUUAUUUCCUCAGCUUUUAUUUAAAAUAGUUAGCCAAAUGCUCCUCUUCCCUCAGGGAAGCCACUAUAUAUCCAGCUAUAAAAAGAGCCAUGGCCAUUUAAGAUUUAAUUCUCCUCCUGCUGUCCCAAAUGGGAGACAACAGAGGCCUGGUCAAAGAAGACCAACUUCCCAGCAACUCUAUCCUGCUUAUUUUCCUGACAUCACAGCUUUCAUCCAGUUGGCUUCUGGUUAGCCAGAACAGUCAUCAAUCUCAGCAGAGGACACUGGGCCCAAAUCAAUCCAUUAAUAAUAGUUAGCUUGGUAGCCACAGCUGUAAAGUCAAGCAGCUGGAUAGCAGAACAAACAUCAAGCUGAGCACAUCUAUGGAAUAAGAAAAAUCCUGGAGGAUCUAUUCCAACAUUCUACUUUCCUUAGCACUUAAAGGAGAACUGGAGAAAGGGGUCAGAGGUUGGAUACCCAUGGUUCCACUGCAUAAAUAAAAAACCCCCCCAAAAAAACCACAGGCUACUUUAACAAGGAACAAUCCCUAAUCCGCUUCUCUUGGCUCUAUUCUAACUCACUGCUAAAUAGAGCUGUCCAGAUUAUGCACAUGAGAUAUCCUUCUUGAUUGAUUUCUCUGGCUUUGCUGCCCUCCCUCUUUAGCAUGUUAGUGAAUGGAAAAAUCAUCCACCAAUCAGGGAAGUACAGCAGAAUUUUGGGGUCGGGCUGUCAUCUCCAGGCUCCUUCUUGUGCCCUUCCUCCAACACUCCAGAUCAGAACUGGAGAAGCUUCUUGGAUAAGAAACAAAACAUUUUCAAGGAAAAUACCAAGAAAGUCCAGUAGUCUUUUGGAAAGGCAUCUUUGGGACUUCUCAACCUUAGAUGUGUGGACUUCACAUUGGCUGGGGAAUUCUGAGAGUUGAAGGCCACACAUCUUAUAUCUUGCCAAGGUUGAGAAGUACUACUCCAAACUCAACCUAAUUAAGAUUUUUG